AAGAUGGCUGAGACAUAAAGCGGUGGAUUGUAAACCCAUAAAUAUAGGUGAAACUCCUUUUCUUGUUA
rnacentral:tRNA from 1 species